UGGGGAAUAUUGCACAAUGGGCGAAAGCCUGAUGCAGCGACGCCGCGUGAGGGAUGACGGCCUUCGGGUUGUAAACCUCUUUCAGCAGGGAAGAAGCGAAAGUGACGGUACCUGCAGAAGAAGCGCCGGCUAACUACGUGCCAGCAGCCGCGGUAAUACGUAGGGCGCAAGCGUUGUCCGGAAUUAUUGGGCGUAAAGAGCUCGUAGGCGGUUAGUCGCGUCUGCUGUGAAAACUCGAGGCUCAACCUCGGGCUUGCAGUGGGUACGGGCUGACUAGAGUGCGGUAGGGGUGACUGGAAUUCCUGGUGUAGCGGUGGAAUGCGCAGAUAUCAGGAGGAACACCGAUGGCGAAGGCAGGUCACUGGGCCGCAACUGACGCUGAGGAGCGAAAGCAUGGGGAGCGAACAGGAUUAGAUACCCUGGUAGUCCAUGCCGUAAACGUUGGGCACUAGGUGUGGGUCCAUUCCACGGAUUCCGUGCCGCAGCAAAGCGCAUUAAGUGCCCCGCCUGGGGAGUACGGCCGCAAGAUUAAAACUUAAAGGAAUUGACGGGGUCAUAGCUGUUUCCU
rnacentral:rRNA from 1 species